rnacentral:rRNA from 1 species
AGCGUACACGGUGGAUGCCCUGGCAGUCAGAGGCGAUGAAGGACGUGCUAAUCUGCGAUAAGCGUCGGUAAGGUGAUAUGAACCGUUAUAACCGGCGAUUUCCGAAUGGGGAAACCCAGUGUGUUUCGACACACUAUCAUUAACUGAAUCCAUAGGUUAAUGAGGCGAACCGGGGGAACUGAAACAUCUAAGUACCCCGAGGAAAAGAAAUCAACCGAGAUUCCCCCAGUAGCGGCGAGCGAACGGGGAGCAGCCCAGAGCCUGAAUCAGUGUGUGUGUUAGUGGAAGCGUCUGGAAAGGCGCGCGAUACAGGGUGACAGCCCCGUACACAAAAAUGCACAUGCUGUGAGCUCGAUGAGUAGGGCGGGACACGUGGUAUCCUGUCUGAAUAUGGGGGGACCAUCCUCCAAGGCUAAAUACUCCUGACUGACCGAUAGUGAACCAGUACCGUGAGGGAAAGGCGAAAAGAACCCCGGCGAGGGGAGUGAAAAAGAACCUGAAACCGUGUACGUACAAGCAGUGGGAGCACGCUUAGGCGUGUGACUGCGUACCUUUUGUAUAAUGGGUCAGCGACUUAUAUUCUGUAGCAAGGUUAACCGAAUAGGGGAGCCGAAGGGAAACCGAGUCUUAACUGGGCGUUAAGUUGCAGGGUAUAGACCCGAAACCCGGUGAUCUAGCCAUGGGCAGGUUGAAGGUUGGGUAACACUAACUGGAGGACCGAACCGACUAAUGUUGAAAAAUUAGCGGAUGACUUGUGGCUGGGGGUGAAAGGCCAAUCAAACCGGGAGAUAGCUGGUUCUCCCCGAAAGCUAUUUAGGUAGCGCCUCGUGAAUUCAUCUCCGGGGGUAGAGCACUGUUUCGGCAAGGGGGUCAUCCCGACUUACCAACCCGAUGCAAACUGCGAAUACCGGAGAAUGUUAUCACGGGAGACACACGGCGGGUGCUAACGUCCGUCGUGAAGAGGGAAACAACCCAGACCGCCAGCUAAGGUCCCAAAGUCAUGGUUAAGUGGGAAACGAUGUGGGAAGGCCCAGACAGCCAGGAUGUUGGCUUAGAAGCAGCCAUCAUUUAAAGAAAGCGUAAUAGCUCACUGGUCGAGUCGGCCUGCGCGGAAGAUGUAACGGGGCUAAACCAUGCACCGAAGCUGCGGCAGCGACGCUUAUGCGUUGUUGGGUAGGGGAGCGUUCUGUAAGCCUGCGAAGGUGUGCUGUGAGGCAUGCUGGAGGUAUCAGAAGUGCGAAUGCUGACAUAAGUAACGAUAAAGCGGGUGAAAAGCCCGCUCGCCGGAAGACCAAGGGUUCCUGUCCAACGUUAAUCGGGGCAGGGUGAGUCGACCCCUAAGGCGAGGCCGAAAGGCGUAGUCGAUGGGAAACAGGUUAAUAUUCCUGUACUUGGUGUUACUGCGAAGGGGGGACGGAGAAGGCUAUGUUGGCCGGGCGACGGUUGUCCCGGUUUAAGCGUGUAGGCUGGUUUUCCAGGCAAAUCCGGAAAAUCAAGGCUGAGGCGUGAUGACGAGGUACUACGGUGCUGAAGCAACAAAUGCCCUGCUUCCAGGAAAAGCCUCUAAGCAUCAGGUAACAUCAAAUCGUACCCCAAACCGACACAGGUGGUCAGGUAGAGAAUACCAAGGCGCUUGAGAGAACUCGGGUGAAGGAACUAGGCAAAAUGGUGCCGUAACUUCGGGAGAAGGCACGCUGAUAUGUAGGUGAAGUCCCUUGCGGAUGGAGCUGAAAUCAGUCGAAGAUACCAGCUGGCUGCAACUGUUUAUUAAAAACACAGCACUGUGCAAACACGAAAGUGGACGUAUACGGUGUGACGCCUGCCCGGUGCCGGAAGGUUAAUUGAUGGGGUUAGCGGUAACGCGAAGCUCUUGAUCGAAGCCCCGGUAAACGGCGGCCGUAACUAUAACGGUCCUAAGGUAGCGAAAUUCCUUGUCGGGUAAGUUCCGACCUGCACGAAUGGCGUAAUGAUGGCCAGGCUGUCUCCACCCGAGACUCAGUGAAAUUGAACUCGCUGUGAAGAUGCAGUGUACCCGCGGCAAGACGGAAAGACCCCGUGAACCUUUACUAUAGCUUGACACUGAACAUUGAGCCUUGAUGUGUAGGAUAGGUGGGAGGCUUUGAAGUGUGGACGCCAGUCUGCAUGGAGCCGACCUUGAAAUACCACCCUUUAAUGUUUGAUGUUCUAACGUUGACCCGUAAUCCGGGUUGCGGACAGUGUCUGGUGGGUAGUUUGACUGGGGCGGUCUCCUCCUAAAGAGUAACGGAGGAGCACGAAGGUUGGCUAAUCCUGGUCGGACAUCAGGAGGUUAGUGCAAUGGCAUAAGCCAGCUUGACUGCGAGCGUGACGGCGCGAGCAGGUGCGAAAGCAGGUCAUAGUGAUCCGGUGGUUCUGAAUGGAAGGGCCAUCGCUCAACGGAUAAAAGGUACUCCGGGGAUAACAGGCUGAUACCGCCCAAGAGUUCAUAUCGACGGCGGUGUUUGGCACCUCGAUGUCGGCUCAUCACAUCCUGGGGCUGAAGUAGGUCCCAAGGGUAUGGCUGUUCGCCAUUUAAAGUGGUACGCGAGCUGGGUUUAGAACGUCGUGAGACAGUUCGGUCCCUAUCUGCCGUGGGCGCUGGAGAACUGAGGGGGGCUGCUCCUAGUACGAGAGGACCGGAGUGGACGCAUCACUGGUGUUCGGGUUGUCAUGCCAAUGGCACUGCCCGGUAGCUAAAUGCGGAAGAGAUAAGUGCUGAAAGCAUCUAAGCACGAAACUUGCCCCGAGAUGAGUUCU